rnacentral:rRNA from 1 species
GACGAACGCUGGCGGCGUGCUUAACACAUGCAAGUCGAACGGAAAGGCCCUGCUUUUGUGGGGUGCUCGCGUGGCGAACGGGUGAGUAACCCAUGAGUCUCCUUCCCUUGACUUUGGGAUAACUUCAGGAAACUGCGGCUAAUACCGACUAGGAGCUCCUGCUGCAUGGUGGGGGUUGGACAGUAUCGGAGGUUGGGGAUGGACUCCCGGCUUAUCAGCUUGUUGGUGGGGUAGUGGCUUACCAAGGCUUUGACGGGUAGCCGGCCUGGGAGGGUGACCGGCCACAUUGGGACUGAGAUACGGACCAGACGCCAACGUGAGGCAGCAGUGGGGAAUAUUGCACAAUGGGCGGAAGCCUGAGGCAGCAACGCCGCGUGCGGGAUGACGGCCAUCGGGGGGUAAACCGCUGUCGGCUGUGACGAAGCGUGAGUGACGGUAAUGGGUAAAGAAGCACCGGCUAACUACGUG